CCUACGGGUGGCAGCAGUGAGGAAUAUUGGUCAAUGGACGAGAGUCUGAACCAGCCAAGUAGCGUGAAGGAUGACUGCCCUAUGGGUUGUAAACUUCUUUUAUAUGGGAAUAAAAUGUUCCACGUGUGGGAUUUUGUAUGUACCAUAUGAAUAAGGAUCGGCUAACUCCGUGCCAGCAGCCGCGGUAAUACGGAGGAUCCGAGCGUUAUCCGGAUUUAUUGGGUUUAAAGGGAGCGUAGGUGGAUUGUUAAGUCAGUUGUGAAAGUUUGCGGCUCAACCGUAAAAUUGCAGUUGAAACUGGCAGUCGUGAGUACAGUAGAGGUGGGCGGAAGUCGUGGUGUAGCGGUGAAAUGCUGAGAUAUCACGAAGAACUCCGAUUGCGAAGGCAGCUCACUGGACUGCAACUGACACUGAGGCUCGAAAGUGUGGGUAUCAAACAGGAUUAGAGACCCCAGUAGUC
rnacentral:rRNA from 1 species